rnacentral:rRNA from 1 species
UUUUCGGUUGGGGAUGGGCUCGCGGCCUAUCAGCUUGUGGUGAGGUAAUGGCUCACCAAGGCGUCGACGGGUAGCCGGCCUGAGAGGGUGACCGGCCACACUGGGACUGAGACACGGCCCAGACUCCUACGGGAGGCAGCAGUGGGGAAUAUUGCACAAUGGGCGGAAGCCUGAUGCAGCAACGCCGCGUGAGGGAUGACGGCCUUCGGGUUGUAAACCUCUUUUAGCAGGGAAGAAGCGAGAGUGACGGUACCUGCAGAAAAAGCACCGGCUAACUACGUGCCAGCAGCCGCGGUAAUACGUAGGGUGCAAGCGUUAUCCGGAAUUAUUGGGCGUAAAGAGCUCGUAGGCGGUCUGUCGCGUCUGCUGUGAAAUUCCGAGGCUCAACCUCGGGCUUGCAGUGGGUACGGGCAGACUAGAGUGCGGUAGGGGAGAUUGGAAUUCCUGGUGUAGCGGUGGAAUGCGCAGAUAUCAGGAGGAACACCGAUGGCGAAGGCAGAUCUCUGGGCCGUAACUGACGCUGAGGAGCGAAAGGGUGGGGAGCAAACAGGCUUAGAUACCCUGGUAGUCCACCCCGUAAACGUUGGGAACUAGUUGUGGGGUCCUUUCCACGGAUUCCGUGACGCAGCUAACGCAUUAAGUUCCCCGCCUGGGGAGUACGGCCGCAAGGCUAAAACUCAAAGGAAUUGACGGGGACCCGCACAAGCGGCGGAGCAUGCGGAUUAAUUCGAUGCAACGCGAAGAACCUUACCAAGGCUUGACAUACACGAGAACGGGCCAGAAAUGGUCAACUCUUUGGACACUCGUGAACAGGUGGUGCAUGGUUGUCGUCAGCUCGUGUCGUGAGAUGUUGGGUUAAGUCCCGCAACGAGCGCAACCCUCGUUCUAUGUUGCCAGCACGUAAUGGUGGGAACUCAUGGGAUACUGCCGGGGUCAACUCGGAGGAAGGUGGGGAUGACGUCAAAUCAUCAUGCCCCUUAUGUCUUGGGCUUCACGCAUGCUACAAUGGCCGGUACAAUGGGCUGCAAUACCGUGAGGUGGAGCGAAUCCCAAAAAGCCGGUCCCAGUUCGGAUUGAGGUCUGCAACUCGACCUCAUGAAGUCGGAGUCGCUAGUAAUCGCAGAUCAGCAACGCUGCGGUGAAUACGUUCCCGGGUCUUGUACACACCGCCCGUCAAGUCAUGAAAGUCGGUAACACCUGAAGCCGGUGGCCUAACC